GUCUGAUGGUGGGGGCAACUGGCACAUAGUUUCUUAAAUCUCUCCCAGUAUUCGUAUAGGCUCUCUCCACUGAGUUGUCUAAUACCUGAGAUAUCUUUCCUGAUGGC
rnacentral:snoRNA from 1 species